rnacentral:rRNA from 1 species
UACGAAGGGGGCUAGCGUUGUCCGGAAUUACUGGGCGUAAAGCGUGCGCAGGCGGUCUUUUAAGUCAGAUGUGAAAUCCCCGGGCUCAACCCGGGAACUGCGUCCGAUACUGGAAGGCUUGAAUCCGGGAGAGGGAUGCGGAAUUCCAGGUGUAGCGGUGAAAUGCGUAGAUAUCGAGAGGAACACCUGCGGCGAAGGCGGGUUGCUGGGCUGACACUGACGCUGGAGCGCGAAAGCCAGGGGAGCAAACGGG